AGGAGAAAAGGGCAAAUUCAUUGAAAAAUGAGGACGCAAAGCUAGAGGGGCUAAAGUCAUUUGAUCAUGCCAGCCAGCUGCCGAA
rnacentral:ncRNA from 1 species